UAUCCUAUAUCGAUUUGGAUUUAGAUCUUUGCACAAUAUAUAAAAAUGUAACAAUUCUUAACUCUUAAGCUAGAUUUUGGGCUAAGUUAGACUACGUUUCUAAUAUGGUAUCAGAGCUUAUGGUUGGUCCAACAAACAAAUUCCUACAAAAAUGGUUUUUUACCUAUAUGGCCACACAAGUGAUAGGUCUUGUUGUAUUUCUAGGCUUGGACCGUUUCUCACACGCAUCUCGGAAAAGCCUAUUAAAAUGUUCUAUAUUGGUUAGGAUUAAGAUCUUUGGGUAAUAUAUAAAGGAUGUGACAAUCUUUAACUCUUGAGAUAGCUUUCGGGCUAAGUUAGGCCAUAUCCCUAAUAUAAAAGUUUUUUUUUAUUUUGUUUUGCAUAUAUUUUCUCAGUAUAAUUUUAAAUGAUGUUU
rnacentral:sRNA from 1 species